CACUUAUUUACUACAAUAUAUUGCUCUUUUGCGCCAUCUUACAAAAUUUUCAUCUAAUAGUAUAGUCCAGUCGACCUUAUCUGCAUUAAAUAAACACGAUUAGGCCAUAUAUACCCAAAAUUUGAACUUGUCAUUUUUGUAUUAUCAUCAGGCCUGUCCUCGAUCAAAACUUGUAUUAUGUUGGAAUGAAGUAUACAUCAGCAACUUUUACAGCAGCAACUAUCAACAUUCUCCCAGGCAUCACCUUCAUAAUGGCUGUUAUUUUCAGGUAUAUCUUUACUUUCCCAGAUUCAUUAACAAAACUUUGUAUUAUACUAGUUUGAUGGGGUUCAAAGGUGAAAAGAGAGUUAGAUCGAUGUGCAUGGCAUAACAUUCCCAUUUUUUUGUGUAUUUAUUCUUAGUUGAGUUUGAGACGACAUCAACCAAAAUAUACUAAUUAAAAAAUGGGAAAAUUGUAGCAUAGCUCCAAACCUUUUUCAAUUAUUGAAAACUUUACCCUAACCUUCAAUUUGUGUCAACAAAGGUCCCCAACCUUUCAGAAGUAUGCACCUGAGUCCAAAUUAAUGGAAACCCAUCCAUUUGAACUUUAGUUGACCAAUAAAAUUGAAUUUUGAACAAUUUUGACUAAUUUAAAAGAGUAAAAGGGUAACUUUGCAAUUUAACUCUAUAAAACAAUUAAAAUAAAUAAUCAAAACAAAAUAAAAAUAAUAAAAGGAAAAAAACUAUUCAUCUCACACCCCCAUCCUCCCAAAUCCACUACCCAAGCAACCUCUUCAUUAGAAUUUUUACUUCUCCAACACAAAGAAUUUCCCACUUGAACCUUAUUUCCCUCACAAUACAAAUACCCAUCUUCAGAUUUUGUGAAACAAUACUAGAGAUUCUGGGUUUUGAGUUCAAUGAGGGACAGAAUUGCUCGUAUGCACAAAGAGGCGAUUUUUGAAGUAGGCUUAAGUUUGAAGGGUGAAAUGGGUUUUAUGGGAAACCAAGUAAAUGGGGAUUUCGGGGAUUUUAUGGAAAGGAUUGUUGGGGUUUGAGAGAGGAGGUUUAUAGCCACCAUUGUUGGGAGAAAGUGAAGAAAAUGCAACCGUUUACACAAAGAAAGAUGAUUUUUUGGUUUUGGUUUGCGGUGGUCGCUGGCGAUGGCCGGAAGUAGCAGAUGGUCGACGAGUUGUUUCUAGAUUUUGGUUCUUUUUUUUGUUGGGGGGAGGAGGCAGGUGAGAUGUGUAAGAAGAUGAUAUUUUAUUUUUAUCUUUUCUCUCUUUUUAUUUUGUUUUAUUUUAUUUUAUUUCUGGGUUUUCCAUUAUUUUAUGUAUAUAAUAGCAAAGUUAUCAUUUACCCAUUUUAAUUUGAUCAAAAUUUGUCAAAGUCCACUUUUGUUGGUUCAACUAAUGGUCAAAUGAACAACAUUUGGAUCCAAGUGCAUAUUUCUGAAAGUUAGGAACAUUCACUAGCACAAAUCGAAGGUUAUGGUAAAAUCUGCAAAAAUAGAAAAGACUUGGGACCAUUGCUACAAUUUUCCCUUAAAGAAUUUAGAGGUGUCAAAAUAGGCGGAUCGACCCAAGCCAGGUUCGUCUGUGAAAAGUUCAAGCUGAUAACCAGUCUAGACUUGGCCCCUGAUGACAUGUUGCCCAUGUAGACAUUUUUAUCAAAAAAAAAAAAAAUAAUAAUAAUAAUAAAUAAAUAAUAAUCAUUUUUAUUUUACUUCUACUAAAAUCCUUUUGAAAAAUGUGGGGACCAGGCCUCUAAGACAAGCCAUCUGGAUCCAACCUACUCAUUUUGACACCUUGAGAAAAAUCAUAUUAUCAUUUCUUCAAAAAUAUUUAGUGCCUCUGUUUGGGUUUAUUUUCAUUUGUAACUAAAAAGUUACUUUUAAAGGAUCCAUGGUAUUAUACACAUAUCGACCACUCAUUUCUCGAAAAAUAAAAGAAACACGAACAUAAGCAUAUUAAAAUUUUGUGCUUUUCUAAAUAAAUUUUAAUCUGAUCACAUGUACUUCAUAUUUAUAGGUUGGAGAAGGUUAACUUGAAACAGAUACACAGUCUAGCAAAGGUCAUUGGAACUGGAAUAACACUCUUAGGUGCAAUGCUCAUGACAUUCUACAAAGGCCCUGUAGUCGAUAUUCUUCCCCACUCACUCAGCAGAAGCCACCAUGAAACCGCUAGCACCGUUGGCUCAGCCGAUCAGCACUGGAUCACUGGCACAAUUAUGUUGCUUUCUUGUAUUGUGGGUUGGUCCGGUUUCUUUAUAGUUCAAGUAAGUUCUAUGUCCAUCCAGAUAGGAUUAGACAAGAUCAUUACAAAGUUAUAUCUAGACCUAUCUAAUCGAGCUUAUCAAAUAUGUCGUUUAUGUGCACUCGAAUUUAUCGAAAUUUUUUCUUUUAGAUUUAAUUAAAGUUAAAUAUUGAUAUGGUUUGAACAGAAUAAGACACUGAAGGAAUAUCCUGCAGAGCUCUCUCUUACAUCAUUAGUUUGUUUCAUGGGAAUGGUGGAAGGUGGAGUUGUGGCUAUAAUAAUGGAACACCAUAUCAGUGCCUGGGCAAUUGGCUUUGACUCAAGACUUUUGGCUGCUGUAUAUUCUGUGAGUAAAUUUCAAUAAUUAGGACGAAAAGCAAUUUAUAUAUUCUCUUAAUGACAUGUUUGGUAUAGGGUUAUAUAUGAUAACGCUGGACAAUACACUAUUUUGGCUUUAUUCCUUUUUGCAUAGUGUUGAUUAAUUGUUGUGAGUUGUAGAGCUUAAUUAUUCUCGCCGUGCGGAGUUAGCACACAAAUUUAUUGCAGCAACUAAAGAGGAUGUAGUCUCAAAUCAAAGCGAACAUAAAUCUCGUGUGAUCUCGUGUGCAUUUUUUUCUAUGAAUUUUUGUUCUUGGUGGUAGAAUUAGAGUUUUUAAUUCUUAACAAGCAUUCAACAUUAUCAAACACACGACAGGGGUAUUGAGAAUAAAAUUUUGUAACGCAUUGAGAGAAUAGAGCUAGACUAGGUGGAAAAAACCCUAAAACGGUCACGAAGUAUGUAGGCUUUGCUCGGGAGCAUUCUCUAACAAAGCAUUAUAUAUUUUCAAGGAAUGCAAACAUUGAAACACUUUGUCUAAUUAAGUCAUAGUUUCAUGUCAAGAAUCAUAUUAUAAUAUGUGACAAAAUUUUAUGUUGACUAUCAACCUAUCGUAAUUAGUAAGUCUCCUUCUUUAUAAGAUAUUGUAUCUAAAUAUAUGUACUUCAUUGCAGGGGAUCGUUUGCUCAGGAAUUGCAUAUUAUCUGCAAAGUGUUGUCAACAAGGCACGAGGUCCAGUGUUUGUGACUUCAUUCAGUCCUCUAAGCAUGAUAAUCACAGCUCUUUUGGGAGCCAUGGUUUUGGCUGAGCAAAUUCACCUUGGAAGGUAACUUUCGUGCUUGUAAUUUCGUUGAACAAGCCAAUUACUUUUAUUAUAUGAAGUUUCUUGGGCAGGUAAAAUCUGUUUCAAAAACUUUAUACAACGGCUAAGAGUCGUUCGCUGCCCUCGCCGUGUCCCGUGUUGCCCAACCCCAUUAGGGUUGGGAUUCCCCAGUUAGUCGGUGUUCGGGUUGAGUACGGGAAAAAUAGUCCCAUCCCGACUCUUCUUCUUUAUUUCAUUAUAUACAAUAUAUUUAUGUUUUAAAAUUAAAAUCUUUAAGUUUAAAAAAAAAAUUAGUUAGCAAAAAAUAUGAAUAUUUUAAUCUGAAUCAUGCCUCCUACCAAAUGCAAAGGAGAUGGCGAUAGGGAGGGCUUCCUCGGCCCUGCCACAUCCCAUCUCUUUUGCCAUCCCCACUCAAGGAAACACACACCAAACAAGUUGUGCCUAAUGCGCACAUCAUCUGCAUACAUCGCACUCGUUAAUUUAGCAUGAGAAUUUUUAUCAAUUAUGAUCGUCGCUUAUAUUUCUUGAUACAUAAUCGUUCGAUAAUUAGUAGUUAAAAAUGUGUGUAUAUUUGUACUUGCAGCUUAAUAGGAGCAAUUAUCAUUGUAUUUGGACUCUACUCAGUUGUAUGGGGUAAGAGCAAAGAGAAUUCAAACUCGGACGAGUUAGUGUACGAGGAAAACAAAUCCCAUGAUGCAUUGCCAGUGGUGUACAAGAAAACAUCAAACAUUCUUGACAAUGCUACAACUGAUACCGACGUAAAACCAGAUGUACGAGAGAAUAAUUCCUUAAAUCAAGAGCCAUGAAAUAGCAACAUCGUCCUGUCCCAUCCCGUCCCAGCCUAGCCCGUGUUGUUUUUACAUUUUUAGCCCAUGUUGUAUUUAUACCCAUAAAGGCAGAGUAAUUAUGUCAUAUAUUACUGACAUUUUAGCAUUGUAAAUUGGAAAUCAAAUGGGUUUUGGGGAUUAAAGAUCUUGAAAAAGUCAUAUAUCAAGUAUCAAUACUAAUGAAACAAGUGAAAUUUGACAGAUAAAUGUUACAAAUUCACUGCGCAAACUACAUAUCGAAACUUGUGUUGUAUCCUUGUGUGACCUUGGAUAUACAUGUCUUUAUACAUUUUACUUUAAUUGAAAGCGGUAUCUUGCAAUUUGAAUUGAAACUUGUUUUCGUGAGGAUUGUGUUGCGGUUUGACGAAGAUUUGGAAGUUUCCGCCAUUGUAGAUUAUAACUAUAACGAACAAUUUAGCUCCUAUUUGUUUUGGAUAAAAAUUAAAAUUUUCGUAUAUUUUGAUAAAAUUUGAUGAAAUAUUUAGUUAAAUGUUGAUAAGGUAUUGGAUCUCAUAAAAAUGUGUGAUUGAAAAUGAGUUUUAAAAAAUAAUAAUGAUGAUUGAACAGAGUUAAAAACACGAAAAGUGUGGACAGAGUGAGUUGGCAGCAUUUGGUUGGAUUUAUUUUUAGAAAAUUUUCAAACCAUCCAUUCAUGCUUCUCUUUAAGGAUUAGGGGUCAAAAAUGGUCUUAACUCUUGAGGGUUUAGGAAUGUCAAAGAUGAAAAAUAUUUUCGAUUAAUUUCAAUUGUCAAACAUCUUUGUCUUUAAAAUGAGUAUAUAUGGGAUCAUAUUCAAUCCCUGUUAUAUGAAAAAAUUCGAAAUUACAAAUUUAUCAGUGAAAUAGUUAAAUGGACCAAAAUGUCCAUAAUUGAAGAUAACAACUCACGUGAUUUAUAAUACAUUUUGUAACACAUCAAUUUUUUUUUUAGCUUUUUUAUUCUCCUAAAGUUCAAUUAUUAUUUCAUUUUCAUCUAAUUAACAUUUUUUUAAAUCUUUUUCAUUCACAUGUCCUAGGUAAAUUAACGUGCAGUCUAGUGUUUUAAAUAAUUUUCUUCCAUUCGCAUUAUUUACUUUAAAAUUUGUUAGGAAUGCAUGUCUAAUUUUAUUAGUUUGAUGAUUAUGCACUUGUUUGAUAAAGAUUUUUAGAGAAGUAAUUAUUUGAAAAUAUCUUCUCUAUGAAUGUGUGAUUAAAAAUUAGGAAAGUUAUGAGGAAUGAGAAAAAUAAUAUUUUGGGAGAUUGUAUGAUUGAAAACAAGUACGGAAGAAAAAUUAUUCUCAAACAAUAAAAACCGAACUAAGGCCCCUUUCAUGAGAAAGCUUCAUAGAAGAGAAUAAUGUAUAUAUAUACAUAUAAUUAAUGAGUAUUUCCUAUAUUUUACAAUAUUUUCUAACUUAGUAAAAUUAUUUUUAGUGACUUGAUGUUAGAGCUGAAGAAAGAAAAAUAAUAAAUUUUAUAGAUCUCUCUCUCUCUCUCUCACACACACAUAAAUCAUCCAAAAAAAACCAUUGAAAAAUCAGUACUCGGAAAGUGGUAUGCAAAACAUUAAAUUGAUGCUGGUGUAAAUCUUGGCAUUUCUCGUAAUGCUUUAUGAGUUUGAAAGUAGUUUGUUGGAUGAUUUCGGCAAUUAAAAAUUGAAGACUUCGAUGAAAGGGAUCUAGGAAGAGUCACAUGUCAAGCAUCAAUAAUAUAGAAGCAAAUGAAAAUUUACACGUGUUACAAAAUUGUGGAAGUGUGUACAAAAGAUGGUACUAUAAAAAUGGAAAAUUUGCAAUAUUAAUAAUGCUGUUUAAACUUCAAAUAACAAGUUUUGAAAAUAAUAAAAAAAAUAAAAUUGGGUAUCAACAUUCUAUUAUAAUUGCAAAACUAGUCAGUCAUAAAUUAGGAAACUUAUAAAUUUUUAUUAACUCUUUCGUGACCUCAAAUAUUCAUGAAGCUAAAUUUUACUUCUCUUAUUAUAUUGGUGCCUAAAAAUUUAAUUUUUGAUGUUUCUUUCACUCUCUUUUUAACGACUGCUAAUCAUUGUGCUCAUAUGCUGGUUUGAUUCUCCAAUCUUGCCCAACUCUCAAUUGGAUCUUAGACAAAGGGUCAUAUCUAACUCUCUAUGUCAAUUUGUUCAAGAUCAACUGCUUUUCGCGUCGGAUUAAUUGAUAUUUGUGUAGUUUUGGGAUUUUUUAUUUAAAUCAAAUAAAUUGGGAGUAAUGAACACUAAUAUUAAUAACAGAGUUUGUAAUGGUUUUUAAUUGUUAAAAAAAAAGGGUUAUUUUAAGUGAUUUAGAGAAGAGAGGGUGGGGGUGGAGGAGAAGCAAUGUAAAUAUAAAAAGUAAUAGUCAUCUGGAAUAAAAUAAAAUUUUGAAAAAAUAAUUUAUUAUUGUAAAAUAAUGAGAUAAUUAUUUAUGAUUAUUUGAUAUCAUCAUGAUAUAUAAAUAACUCUUAUUUAGUUUAAAAUAUAUAUUUCAUACAAAUUGUAACUCUUAUUUUUGACCUUAUAAAGAUAUGAUAUUAGUUCUUAAUAAUACACAUUUGAGUUUGACUCUUAUAUUAUCUUCUUCUCUCUUUUCAUAAUACUUAUUAUUUUUAAUAUCUUAAAUAAAAGAUAUCAAUGAAAUAAUUUUUUGAUAGGUAAAUUUUUUUUUUUUUUGAUAGGUGAUAUUAAUGAAAUAUUUCAUUAGGUGGGUUUGAGCCCCAUUAUUUUUUCAUUAAAAUGAAAAAUAUGACAUAUUAAGUCACCAUAUUUGACUUUUUAUCUAUUGUGUAGGGCUCAUAAUGACUAUAUUUUUCAUUUUCAUUUUUACAAUAAAGUGGCUCAAACGGGGGCUAGUAACUUAACUAAAAAAUGGAAAACAAACAAAAGGACAAUCUUUCAUCGUGACACCAAAUUUUCUUCGUUGACGAUGGCAAUCGAUGCUUUGUUGAUAAUCGUUGACAUUAUCUUACGUAUGUGCAUUCAAAUAAAAAAAAUAAACAAAAGAAUAAAUGUUCAUCGGUGACACUAGAGUUUCUUCAUUAGCGAUAGUGAUCGCUACACUAUUGAUAGUUGUCGAUAAUGUAUUAUGGAGGUGCAUCCAUAAUAAUCAAGAUUAUUGAUUUUUAUUAGAACUAUCGGCAAUAACCAUCCAAUAUCACCAACAAAAAAUCUGUCCAUGAUCAUUUACUACAUUUUUUUUUAGUUAGUAAACUCGUUAAGCCUUGCCAAACACUACAAUUUUUAUUUUUAUUUUUUUGUCUUUUUCCUCUCCUAAUAAAAAAUUACACGUAAUUUUCUUUUCUAGUGAAAUAGAAUAGAAAUAUAAAAAAGUAAAUUAUUCUAUUUGAGGAUACAAGUUACUUAAAAGUUAGUAUAUUUUCAAAAAGAAUACAUUUUUGAAUAGUGUAUUGAUCGAAAAUGUGUAGUUAAAAAUAAGAAAAAAAAUUUGGAUUUACGUGUAAUAUUAUUUUAUUGAAUAAUACGUGAUUAAAAUAAUAUCAAAUCACUAUUUAAGAAUGUAUUUUCUAAAGAAUGUAGGUCAAAUUAUUUUUAAGCUUAGGCCAUUUCUAGCGUUGCACCAAAUUUUAUACCAAAUCUUUCACCAAACUAAAAUUCGUCUCCAACCAUUACACCAAAAAUUACACAAAAUGAACAAUAUUUAACCAUUUUCUUCCCUUUUUUUUAUUCUUUAUAAUAUAUUUAUAUGAAAAAUUAUUUAUUUAAUUACUUUAUAAAUACAUAAAUUACUAAAUAAAUAAUUACGUUAAAUUACGAAAAAGAUCAAACUCAUUAAUAAAUCGUGUUUGUUAUAUUUUAUUUUUUCUUCUUUUAAUUAAUUUAUUAAUUAUUAUUUCUUACAUUUAAAAUUUAUUUUAAAUGCAAGUAAUAAUCAAAAUAAUAAUAAUUUAUUGUAUUAAAAAAUAGAUAGUACAAAUAACACAAAUACCCUUAAUCAAUUUAUUUGAAAAAGGAAAAUGAAAGGUAAAAAUGACUUUAGACACAUUGCACCAUUUUGGUGCAAAGUGAACUUACACCAUUUUGGUGCAAAAUAGUGCAAAGUUUAAUGUUACAUUUGAGGUAUUUUGCACCAUUUUUUCGUGCAUUUUUAUGUUUUGGGUAAGCAUUGGAGAUGCCCAGCAAAACAUGCCAUCUGAUAUGGCACUUGAUGAUUGGGGAAAGCUACAAAACAUGGGAAACAUUGUACCAGCUUAACCCAAAAUGUUGGGGAAAAUCAUUGCAGAAGUCUAUAAUUUGUAUGUAUUCUAAGGAAAAGUAUACAAUUUUAUGUAGGCAGUAGAAUCCAUAUAGAAAUCAUGUUUAAAUAAAUUUAAAGAAAUUUUUAAACUCAUAACCUUCUUACAAUAUGUAUAGAUUGAUGACUUCUCCUUACGUUUUCUGUCUGUAUACUCCUUUGCUUCACUUUGAUGAAUCUUCUUGGUCUGUCUUCCCUUAACGGCCACCUGCCUGAUUGUAUUUUAGUCCCAGUGAUUCUGUAAAGAUCCGUACAUGGUUUGUAUAUAGAACUGAAAAGUAUGAAGAAUUGACUAAAACAUGAAAGUUUUAUUCAAUAAGAAGGUUUAAGAGUAUGAAGAACUCUUAAACUUAUUUAAUUACAUGAAAAGAUUCAAAAAUAAAUCUACUGUCUUUGAGGGUUUAGCCUCACAGUGUAUACAUUUAGUAUUUCAGAAUUAGAAAAUUUUGCUCUCAAAAUUU
rnacentral:lncRNA from 1 species